rnacentral:rRNA from 1 species
CCUACGGGGGGCUGCAGUAGGGAAUAUUGCGCAAUGGGGGAAACCCUGACGCAGCGACGCCGCGUGAGCGAUGAAGGCCUUCGGGUCGUAAAGCUCUGUCGUAUGGGAAUAAUAAUGAAUGUACCAUAUAAGAAAGGAUCGGCUAACUUCGUGCCAGCAGCCGCGGUAAGACGAGGGAUCCUAGCGUUGUUCGGAAUCAUUGGGCGUAAAGCGGGUGUAGGUUGCUUUUUAAGUCAAAUGUGAAAUCCUAGGGCUCAACCCUAGAAGUGCAUCUGAUACUAUCAAGCUUGAGUGUGGAAGAGGCUAUUAGAAUUCCUGGUGUAGUGGUGAAAUACGUAGAUAUCAGGAGGAAUACCAGUUGCGAAGGCGGAUAGCUGGUCCAACACUGACACUAAGACACGAAAGCGUGGGGAUCAAACAGGAUUAGAUACCCCUGUAGUC